rnacentral:rRNA from 1 species
UGGUGGAGUGAUUUGUCUGCUUAAUUGCGAUAACGAACGAGACCUUAACCUGCUAAAUAGCCCGGCUAGCUUCGGCUGGUCGCUGGCUUCUUAGAGGGACUAUCGGCUCAAGCCGAUGGAAGUUUGAGGCAAUAACA